AGAUGGCGACCGGCGCACGGGUGAGUAACACGUAUCCAACCUGCCGAUAACUCCGGAAUAGCCUUUCGAAAGAAAGAUUAAUACCGGAUGGCAUACGAAUAUCGCAUGAUAUUUUUAUUAAAGAAUUUCGGUUAUCGAUGGGGAUGCGUUCCAUUAGUUUGUUGGCGGGGUAACGGCCCACCAAGACUACGAUGGAUAGGGGUUCUGAGAGGAAGGUCCCACACAUUGGAACUGAGACACGGUCCAA
rnacentral:rRNA from 1 species